UUAUGAUAAUGAUAUAUUUUUCUGCACUGUUAAACGUUAAAUAACAUGAAAACGGAGUACAUUUACAGCGAACUUUCUUUCCGAAUCAGUUUUUAAUUUCUUAUCGCUUUACUUCGUCAAGUUUAUAUAUAAAAUAUAAAUUUCAUCUUAAAUGCUGGGCAAAUAUAUGUCACGAUCAAAAUAACGUGAAAAGAAAUUCAAAACAAAACAUUGUUUGUAACAGAUUUCUGUAUACUGUGCGUAAUCCGAGUCAUACUCGCGUAUUCCGAAUCACCACAAAUGAACUAAAAUGGUUUUCUUAUUACUAUCCACAACAGCAUAAAACUACCAUCUUGAAUAGAAAACUGAAAUUAUUUUAUGUUAGGAAUAGAAAUAAUCGCAUUUAAGGCCAAUAAAAGGACUUAAACGAUAGGCAUGACAAGCUUCUUUGGCAUUAUUGAAAUACGCUGUUUUAAAACAAUCAUGUGGGCGGUUUUGUCCUUCGUGUGAAUAAAAUAGUUACAUGGUAUAAUACCUCCGCCUUUUUCUUUAACAUCUGGCUAUUGGUAAAAUAAUAACAUACAUUAAUAUUUUGGACACACUGAAUCGGCAUUUUUCUGCAAUCUUUAAACAAAAUGCAGCUGAAAGAACAGAACUGAAAAUGUGUGAUUCGGAAUAAGCACAAUGUAUGCCAUCUAUAUUUCAUCUUUAGGCAUCUCAAUGGUCAAGUUGUUUUUAAUGUGGGAUAUAUGACUGGAAUGAACGUAAAAUUUCGUUCUUUUUAAUCUCCCUUUCGUUUCAUUUCGUUAAAAAAUUAGAACGCAAACGCUUCUUGAAUCUGACAUUUUUGUUUACAUUCGUCAGAUUUCCACAUAAGAAAAAAUAUAGCAUUUGGACAAUGUUGCAAAUAUGGAUUAUGUAAGAAUAACUUGAAGCAAUGAAUUAUUAGUUUAAUGCAUUAUAUAUAAAACCAAAACAUAUCUUGCGGUUUUUCUUGACGAAUGCGCGACGGCUGCUUAAAAUCUUGGAAAUGAGUCGAUUUACAGACUGGUUCGGAAUAGGCGGGUUCGCUGUACGAGUAUAUAUGCUUUUGUAGUGUAUGUCUUAUUAAAGGUUGGAAAUUUAUACAUACUGUACAUUUUUUGAAAUAAAACAACAGACGAGUUUGGAUCAGGAUAUAUGUAUUUGUAUUAUCUUAGUUAUCUUGAUGUGAUUUCUGUAAACAAAUUAAGGAAGCAAUUCACUUCAUUUAGAGUUUGUUCUCAUAAUUUAGAAAUUGAGUUUGGUUGAUUUUCAGGUAUUAAUAGACAAGAUCGCGUGUGUAAAAUGUGUACCAAAAAUGCAGUUGAAUCAGAAUACCACUUUUUACUGUGUUGCCCUAGAUAUGCAAUUAUUCGUCAAAAAUAUUUUGGGCAUGUAUCAUGGCCAUCAAUUAAAAAAUGUGUCUCUUUUAUGUCUUCAAAAAGGAAAAAUAUGUUGUUUAGAAUUGCUAAAUUCUUAAAUGUUGCUUUUGUUUUAAGAAAAGAAGCCUUAGAACAUAUUUCUGCUUCUUAAUUAUAUGAUGUUAAUUCAUAAAUGUUUAGUGUAUGUUAUGAUAUGGUAGGUAAUGUAUUGAAUAGUUAUGUUCAAUUAUUUAAGUUAUAUUAUGUAUUCGUUUUCUGUCUUGGCCAUAUUUGUUUGUAUGCUGUGGUCAAAGGCAUUAUUAUGUGCCGAUUAACCAAUAAAUGAAAUGAAAUGAAAUGUAUUAAGGAGGUAGUUCACCUUAACAUUUGUACUUGCACAUGCCCAACCGGAAGCUAAUGUGACGAUUUACGACAACCCAAGUAUCAGUCCCCACAUGCGCAGAUGAUACAGCUCUUCUUGCAAACACUGAAAUAGAACUGCAGAGUAUGCUUAACACUGUUGAUUUUCAAACUAAAAGAGAUUGUGUCAUAAUAAACCCGGAAAAGUCUGAAAUUAUUAAAUAUGGAUUAACAGACUCAAUUAAUGUUACUUUGAACUCCAGUGCAAUUAAUGAAGUAGAUACAGCAAAACAUUUAGGAAUGAUGCGUAAUAAUAAAAACAGUGUAGACAUAGAUAAACGUGUGCAAACUGGAAUACAGACAAUGUACGCGCUGUUAGGACCUAGCCUUAACGCUAUAAAGAAUUUCUCACCACUUGUCUCCCUACAUAUAUGGAAAACAUGUGUAAUCCCAAGAUGUCUUUACGGUAUAGAGGUCUUUCACACAACAAACAAAGACCUACAGAAAUUAGAAUUAAUGCAAAGAAGGAUCUUAAAGCAUAUUCAAGCUCUGCCGGAUAGAACAGCAAAUAUUGCGGUAUAUGCAUUAAUUGGAGCAGAACCAAUAGAGACUGUUAUAGACAAAAACAUAAUCUCUGUCUUCACAAACCUCAUAAGACUGCCAGGAUCCUGUGAAUACAAUAUCAUAGAGCGACAACUUACAUUUGGGGACCAACCAAAACAAAGUCUUCUGAACAAGGUGAGACAGUCACUAAGUAAACUAGACUUACCAACACCGGAAGAACUUUUUAUAAAUCUACCCAAAAAGAAUACAUGGUCAAACAUGGUUAAACAAGCAGUUAAUAUUUAUUGGAAAACUCUAUGGGAAACAGAAAAAACAGAGAAAUCAACUCUUAAAUAUUUGUAUCUGCAAGAAAGCCCAAUUAGACCACCGCAUAAUAUAAGGAGAGCAGUAGAGUCUAAACACCAUGAAAUUCGUAAAGCAGAGAUAAAGGCAAGACUCCUUACUGGGACAUAUAUUCUGCAGACUAAUGCAGCACGUUAUAAUAGUGUAAAAACAUCUCCAAUUUGUCUUUUGUGCAAUCAAGAAAAUGAAAAUUUAGAACAUUUUAUAUUAAGAUGCACCGAGUUACACUCAUACCGAUCAGAACCUUUAAAUACUAUUGAAGUGAUAUGUAAUAACAUUAAGUCAGGAAGCUACAAUGAAAUCUUGAAAGAAGGACUAUUACUACAACUUGUAGUAGCUUUCUUUGUUUUUUGGGUUUAAUUUUAAAGUUUACUCAAGUGAGUAAUUGAGUAUGCCACGCUACGCGCCUGACAACUGGGCAGUGUUCCAUUUUCCAUUACUGCUCAUGAACAGACUCAAUCAAACCGAGUCUGCAAUUUUCACUGUUUGCAUUGUUUUCGGUGCUUCCGAGGGAUCUUCUUUCCAGAUUUUAUAUUAGACUGCACCUACAGUAAAGUACAAAAUGCCAUAGUUGCAAAGACGGCAGAUCUUAUAAACAUAGAGAGACUCUCCCAAAAUAUGGUAUAUAAAUUGCAUCUUAAAUGGACUGCAAUUCUUAAAGAAAGGCACUUAAAAGCAGACAGUAUAAAAUAAGGUAAUUAUUAAUAGCGCUGUUAAAAAUAAAUACCAGUGCUAAAAAUAGAACAGUUUAAGCAUGUCAAGCAUUUUAUGCCAUAAAAUCUUUUAAUUAACAAAUAUAACAGCGAUCAUAUAUUUUAUGGUUUUAUUUGGUUCUAUUCUAUUCUAUUCUGAUAGUCAGAAUGGAUAAAUAAUUUGGUAAGCAAGAUUUCUUCCCCUUUAAUACUCUUCAUAAUGAAAGUCAAAUAAAUAUUUAAAUUUACACAUGAAUAACUUUGUAUUCAUCCGCCGAUAGUUUAAAUCAGCUGUUUUGCUGGGACUACUUUACAGUUUUUGUUUGACACGAUACUAUACACAUCGUUUUAGAAAAUCUUUGUUGAAUUUGGCGGUCUUCACUGUGGCCAUAUUGAAAUUUGGAUCAGUUUAGAAAAAUUAAAGCAGAAAUAACUUUUGAUGAUGGACUAAAUUUUAAAUUCUUGAGUGAGAGUUUCCCAGUGGGGAAUUACAUUGUAUAACGUUUUUUAAAAACGGCGAAAUCCAGUGACUUUGUUCAUGAAGAAAAGUGAAAGAUCUUCCAGAAAGAAGAUAGAUUAUAAGAAGAUGGCGUCGGGGUUAAGCCCGGUUACCGAAGUGAAAGGGAAGGAGAAGAGUAAAAUCGCCGAAGUGACAGCUCCCGCUGGAGCCUCAAUAGCAGAUAAACUUUCUGAGCCGAAAGACACAUCUACACCGGUAAAACUCACACUUCCGGUGAAUCCAGGUGAUGAAAAAAGUUCGCUUCUAAACAAGUUAGCAGAGUUGGAUAAGAAACAAAAGCAACUCCAAGAGAAGAAAGAACUAGAAACGUUACGGAAACAGGUCGAGGAACGAGAGGAGGCGGUGCGUGAAUUAGAGAAAUCCCUCACCGAACCGGUACGUAAAGGUAAAUCCAAAGAAUCAUCUUCAGGGGAAUCAGGCGGUGCCAAGCCGAAAAAACACAAAUCAAGAUUAGCAGCUAGUUUUCAGGAAGGACAAACACCAUCUACCUCAACAGAAUCAGGACAAUCAGGUGUGAUGGUUCAUAUUAUUUCGGAUUCAAUUGCCAAGGAUGUGGGUGGUAUUUGGCAUACUAAAGUGAUAGCCUUUCCUGGAAUUGGUAUUACUCGUCUAUCAUUGUAACAGUAUGCAGUCAUAUUUGAUGCGCCAUGUCGGACAUCCAGUCGCCCAUCCCUAUCGUUGACGUAGAUAGAAUUGGUAUGCACAGAAACUCGGAUGAAAUUGAUAAGGCGUCACUGCAAGCUGUUGCUUUGUCACUGAAAAAUGCAUUUUGCAAAUACGGCGUCUGCUAUUUCAAAAACCACGGAAUUGAGUACGAAGACAAAUUCAAACACAUUUCGGAAGCUUUCUUUAAACAGCCUUUAGACGUAAAAACACAACACCUUCGUGGAACGAGACGGGAUUUCGGUUAUACACCAGUAGGACAGGAAAGGCUUAAUCUUGAACAUCCUUUAGCUAUGAACGAGUCUUUUAAUUACCAGCCAGGUGACGACCAAGAUGACUGGAUGGAUAAUGCCUUUCCAGAUGCUUGUAAAGAAAUGUUUGGUCAAUGUUCAGUUUUUGGGUACCGUGUACUUGACGCACUUUCCCUGGCGCUUGGUCAACGACAAACAUUUCUAAGAGAUUCCAGCGCACGUAUCGGAACACAGGACAACCCAACAACUUUAAGAUCGUUAUAUUAUCCUCCCAUCCCGUUAGAUAUGACAACAAAGCCGGGCGAUAUUCGUUUUGGCGAGCACGCGGAUUUCGGAACAAUUUCAUUCCUGUUUCAAGAUAAAGUUGGAGGUCUAGAGGUGGACUUUCCUGGCAAAGGAUUCGUGGAAGUAAUUCCCAUACCUGGGACUAUCCUCGUAAUGGCUGCUGAUUUACUGCAGCGAUGGACUGCCGACACCGUGGUUUCGACUCGGCAUAGGGUGCUUAUACCAGCAGAAGAAUCUAAGAAAAUAAAAGCUCGACAGUCAGCUGUUUUCUUUAUACUGCCUGAUAAUGACUAUGUGGUGAAGCCUUUAGACGGGUCAACGAAGUAUAAACCAAUCACUUGCAUGGAAUACCUACAACCCAAAAUGACGGAUCUCAUUGGCAUUACAUAUUAGAGUGACAUCCAAUGUAUGCAAAAACAAAUGGAAAACAAAGUGUAUCGUUUUCGCUUUGGUCUGUGGGCGAAGGCCAAAACUAUUGAAUGCCGUAACCCAGAAAUUAGAUCCUUCAGGAAACUUUCAAGGGUGGAUAUCGGUCUGAGCAAAUUGUCAGUAAAAUUUAAUGACGAUUUUAAAAACACUGGUGCCUAUUGAAUACAAUUAAGCGUUAUAUUGGAAUAAUGUAGUUUUGGACGGUGAACAUGAAUUUUAUUUGACAUUUCGUAUUAUAGAUUUUAUCUUUUUAUUAAUAAUUUACUCUGGUUGUUACAAAAUGCUACUUUAUGUAUUAUAUACUGAAUAAAAUGUAAAACGUUGAAGCUGUAAUCCACCAACCACAUUAGUAAAUAUACAUAUACGGAAAA
rnacentral:misc_RNA from 1 species